GGAGAGUGAGAGAAAAUAUCCGAUCUCAUCCCAUAACGGAGUCCCGAAGCCAACUCACCCAUACCCCAAAGAAAAGAGAGCCGCCAGCAGCCCGAAUCAGGCCAUGCCCUUGAACCUAGUUCAAGGGCGAUAGAAGAGAGAGCGAUGGGGAUCAGCGGCCCGGGAGCAUUAAACAGAGCAGCUAAGCCAAGAGGGGGUUUGUUCUGAAAGAAAAAGGGAUCCAGAUCAGUGAGAGACCAGGAACCAGGACUAGCGGGACGGGAAAGAGACCCAAGAAGCAUAAGAGGAAUAGGUCACAGCUCCGCCAUCCUGGCUUGCUUUUUGCUGGGCUCGAAGGCACAAUCCUGGCCACGUAGAGCGAGUCCCUC